UACGAAGGGGGCUAGCGUUGUUCGGAAUUACUGGGCGUAAAGCGCACGUAGGCGGAUAUUUAAGUCAGGGGUGAAAUCCCGCAGCUCAACUGCGGAACUGCCUUUGAUACUGGGUAUCUUGAGUAUGGAAGAGGUAAGUGGAAUUGCGAGUGUAGAGGUGAAAUUCGUAGAUAUUCGCAGGAACACCAGUGGCGAAGGCGGCUUACUGGUCCAUUACUGACGCUGAGGAGCGAAAGCUAGGGGAGCAAACGGGG
rnacentral:rRNA from 1 species